rnacentral:rRNA from 1 species
AUUGAACGCUGGCGGCAGGCCUAACACAUGCAAGUCGAGCGAGCGGCGGGCGGGGGAGUAUAGUAUGGGGAAUGUCCGAUAGAGGGGGGUAACUACAGGAAACGGGGGCGAAUACACCAUACUGUCGGAUAACCCAUAGGGGAUUAGCUAGUAGGUGAGGUAAUGGCUUACCUAGGCGACGAUCCCUAGCUGUUCUGAGAGGAUGAUCAGCCACACUGGGACUGAGACACGGCCCAGACUCCGACGGAGGCAGCAGUGGGGAAUAUUGCACAAUGGGCGCAAGCCUGAUGCAGCCAUGCCGCGUGUAUGAAGAAGGCCCUAGGGUUGUAAAGUACUUUCAGUCGGGAGGCGUUACCGACAGAAGAAGCACCGGCUAACUCCGUGCCAGCCGCCGCGGUAAUUC